GAUUUUGCUAUUGCUGUGAAAGAUGGAACAUUUUCUUGGAAUGUAGAGAAUGAAGACAGUUUCAUCUUGAAGGAUAUCAAUAUAGAAAUAAAACCUGGUCAGCUAUUGUCUGUUGUUGGCAUUGUUGGAUCAGGCAAAAGCUCUUUGAUAUCUACCAUCUUAGGGGAAAUGGAGAAAUUAAAAGGUUCAGUUGAAAUUCAGGGAUCAGUGGCCUUUGUUCCUCAAGAAGCAUGGAUACAGAAUGACACCCUUAAGAACAAUAUUCUGUUUGGGAAAGAGUAUGACCAGCCUCUGUAUGAUAGAGUCAUUGAAGCAUGUGCUUUGUUAGCUGACAUUGCUCUCUUACCGGAUGGUAGUGAGUCUGAGAUAGGAG
rnacentral:lncRNA from 1 species